rnacentral:rRNA from 1 species
GCACUGACUGCUAUCGGAUUGAUACUAAGCCAUGCGAGUCAUUGUAGCAAUGCAAGGCAGACGGCUCAGUAACGCGUAGUCAACCUACCCUAUGGACGGGAAUAAUCUCGGGAAACUGAGGCUAAUUCCAGAUAGAACACUAUGCCUGGAACGGCUUGUGUUCCAAAUGAUUUAUCGCCAUAGGAUGGGACUGCGGCCUAUCAGUUUGUUGGUGAGGUAAUGGCCCACCAAGACUAUUACAGGUACGGGCUCUGAGAGGAGUAGCCCGGAGAUGGGUACUGAGACACGGACCCAGGCCCUAUGGGGCGCAGCAGGCGAGAAAACUUUGCAAUGUGCGAAAGCACGACAAGGUUAAUCCGAGUGGUUCCUGCUAAAGGAACCUUUUGACGGUCCUAAAAACACCGUUGAAUAAGGGGUGGGCAAGUUCUGGUGUCAGCCGCCGCGGUAAAACCAGCACCUCAAGUGGUCAGGAUGAUUAUUGGGCCUAAAGCAUCCGUAGCCGGCUCUGUUAGUUUUCGGUUAAAUCUGUACGCUCAACGUACAGGCUGCCGGGAAUACUACAGAGCUAGGGAGUGGGAGAGGUAGACGGUACUUGUAAGGAA